CUGCCUUAUUAGGUGGCUAAAGUGGCCCCAGGUGAAGGGCUGGGGUAUUUGCAGGUUUUUGCUGAGAGGGAAGAGUAUGGUGCCUUCCUGGCAGAGUCCACGGAUGCUGGAGGGAGCAAUCUCCCCCAGGAGAUUCAUGGUGGCUCCUUGUAGGCUGCUGCCUUGUGUUGUCUUAAGUGCAGAGCUUGUCUGGCAGAGAAGGGUAGCAGGGGUGUGUUUUCAUCUUCUGUGUGUCUGGCCAGCAAAAUCCACUUCUCCCUGAGGCUAGGAGCAUCGAUCCUCGCAGCAAAGGGAGGAGAGACAACAACUCAUAAAGGCAAUUUGAUGAGAGAAGGGAGACCUGCCUGUGACAGGCUGUGUUCUCGUUACCUGAGCCAAAUCCGACUGGCAACCAGAGGACAACUUGCCUUGUCCUCCAUUUUGACUGAAAAGAUGGUGCAGGUGUCUUCAUCCUGAAGAAGCAACAAUAGCAACUGGUUCUACUGGAAAACCAGCACCUUGAGACCUGCCUCGUGAGCGUCCCAGUGCUCCCUUCAUUGCAGCAGGACGGGUGGACUGAUGAGGAGGUCCCAGAGAAGGACUUCCCUCUCCUGCCAGCAGCACUGACUCUUGGGGAACAGCAUCCUGCACCAGGGCUGCUAGGAGUAAACUCUGCUGAAACCUUUCUGAGCAGCAGCCUGAUGAGUGCUACUGCUCUGAAUCUUUUUUUUUUUUAAUUGUCACUUUGGUUUAAUUUGACAUCAAUUAUUUGUCACACAUUUCAGUAAGGUAAUUUGGGUGUUGCGAUGUACAACAGACUUGUAAUCCUUAUUCAGGGUGGAAAUGGCAGCAAAGCAAAGCACUCUGCUCCUUGCAUAAGGCUCCAUCGCUGGCAGAUGGGGCUGCUGGGCGCAGGGACACAGCAUGUCCCUGGGCUGUACCCUCCCAUACCUGCUUUUCCAACCUGUUAAAUCACACUGCAAUAGCAGACAAAUUACUCUGGUGGCUAGUGGUUAGUUGAUGAGAUUUUUCUCUAUUACUGCUUCAGCUCAAGUACUACGAUGAAGCGAGGGGGGUGAAAUUAAUUCGAUACUCUCCUGGACAAUAAUCACCUGGCUAUGCAAACCCUGCUGCCAGAUGUACUCCUUAAAAUGCCUCUUUGGUUCAGCAUCUCUGAACAAAGCACUUCAGCUCCCCGUGCAAACUGCUUGCUGUAAGUACAGCUCAAAGGCUUCAGAACGGUUAUUAGCAAGGAGGAACCUAAUGCAGUAACUGAAGAGAGGCUCUGUUAGAAGAGAUGUUAGAGAGUCUAGGAUUUGCUGCACUGCCCUGUGAGCCAUGUAAGAAAAUGACAAGUGCUGGGGGACACGGGCCACCUUGCAGCAGGGAAACUGCACCAGGAGGCCGGAGUGCCCAGCUCCUAAUUCCUCUAUGAGCCUUGGAUCCCUCUCACAUCACAAGUGAGGCUUCCUACCUACUGAAUGGAGACUUUCUUACUGCUUGGUGCAUGAGGAGCCUUUCCCUGGCUGCUUUUUCCUCUGGGAACAGGAAAGGCAAAAGUUCUGGUGCUGCCCUGCAGGCUCAGAGCAAGUCACUUUGCUUUGGCUCCAGCACAGCUUGGAAGUCAGAGUCCCACCAGAUAAAUAAAGCUGCUCAGAGAUUGCCUUCCUCCCCGCUCUGCCAGUGUCUCCUGAUGACAAAUGAUGUGCCAUAGCCCUGUCCUCUGCUAAGUUUGCUUCUCUGUGGGUUUGUCUUUGUGUGCUCUCUUCCCUGCUCCUGCAUGUGCCGCCCAUUGCAGCCCGGCUUCCCUAGCGCUGAUCAGCUGAAGCUUUUCUCUGCGUUUUCUUUUUCCCUCUGAUAAAUCACUUCAUACAGUACCCAGCUCCCCACCCUGCCCAUGACCUCUGCAAUGGCCACAGGCCUUCAGCCUGUGAUUUCUUUUGCUCCUCGCCUCCUUUCAAUUUGUCUUUUAUGCCUGAAACCUGACCAUUUAUCAGUUGGUGAGAGCUGCUGUGUGGGAAGCCAGGCAGAUAUUAUAAUAAAUAGGGUUUCUACUAGAUGAGGGUAAAUACUAAUUUUGGCACGGAACCUGACCCUCCUCGCUCCCCCCAGCAGCAGCAUCACGCAGGUACCCUGAAGUUGUAUUGAUAUCUUCUCCAGUCUUAAAGUUUGAUUUUAGGCCCACAACACCUUGUUAGAGUUAAUCAAGAGAGUAAAUGAACCACUUCAGUUUGCAAAUCCCAGCACAGAAAGCCAUGGGGUUGAAUUUUCACUGCCACUUGCAGGAGUCCUGUUGUGGUUGUGCUGCAGUCACCGUGCUGAGCCCACGCAGUGCGCUGGCAAUGGGGUGCCUUCAGUGCACCCUUUAAAUGCCUUGGGUGUGUGGGCAGGGUUUAACCUGCGGAUGUUGGACGGAGAAAGCCAGGAGCAAGAAAUGCUGGGUUUCUGCACUACUGCAAUGCAGCUGUGUGGUUUGUCCAUCCUGCCUAGGGCCUGACACCUUCGGAGCAAUAUCACAGUCCUGAGGCCCAGACGUUGGUGGCUUCUCCAAGCAGACGGGAUGAAGGCUCGACGAUAUGUGUAAGGCAAAAUAACUCGGUCACCCUAUUUGCAUUUUUCUCAUGCCAGGCACCAAUAAACAGAAGAAACGUUGGAUGGAGACCAGAGGAGUUUGCAAUUAACACAUUAAACAGAUCGACCGAUGGCAGGAUCAAAAGCACUGCAGCCAAAAGCGGAGUAGGAAACGAGCCGCACGUGUGAUGUGACCGUGGCUCUGUGCUGAUGCCUUGAUUUAUGCGAACUUUAAAGGCCCAUAGGAAGCUGAUGCUGCCGUGCAGAAGUCCUUGGGACACCCGAUACCUCCCAUGAGGAUGUUCACAGGCCCUCUAGUGUGCUUCUCCAAGAGACUGGGAUACUCAGCAGCUGUCAGCAUGGCUGUGACAGAUCUGGCUCUUCAGAUGCAACUCGGCCCUUGAAGUAAGGGAUGAUGAUGCAAGGUUCACAACUUUAUAACACAGAAAAGGUUAAUGCUAAUUCAAAAUAUUUCUCCAUGCUUAUUUCCCAGCUCUAGAGAAACUCAUACUUCUUACUAAGCCCUGUUGCAGUGUCCCCUGCACGUAGAUCAGGGCUGCUUGGUCCUUGGUUAAGUCUUGCUGGAGAAGCAUUAGAUCAAUGAGAAAAGUGGCUGGUGUCAGGGAUGCUGACAGGUGUAGGCAUCAUGCUGUCAUCCAAUUUUUGAGUAAGGAAAGACCCUUGCUAGGAGAGCUCUCCGAGAGCACUUAGGCACUCAUUGCCUGCUGUCAAGAAGCUGGCUGCCAAAUCAAGGAGGUGACAAAAAGCCAAUUGAAAGUCACUGCAGGGCUGGCCAGCAGAGGGGGAGCUGGAUGAAUGUUUGCUUUGUGUGGUGAUUCUGUUCCUUCAGUGAACCAAGGUAAAAAGGUGUGUGCUCCUGCCUUCACAGCGUGCUCUUCUGGAGCAUGGCAAAGCCCUGAGUCUGCUGUAUUUAAUGCAUUGUUAGCUUGUCAUUACUCAGGUCACCCAAAUGUUGGUGCUCCUACCAUCUCUGUCUGCUACCGUAAUGUACAAAAACACAAGUGUAUGGGUACUAAAGGCUUGUUUGGUGCUGUACCGAGCCCUGUGUGACCAUGUACCUCCAGCCCAGCUGCCCAGCAAAGCAGGGAGGUUUCUAAAUCCAGCUUGGGUACCCCCAAGGAGGCUGUUAAGGGAUGUGCUCCUCCCAGGACCAGCACACGGGGAGCUCAGAGGGCACGUGCAUGGAAUUAGAGACCUAAAGUUUCAAGUCAUAUAUGAGCUCUUUUUUUUUUUUUAUUUUUAUCAUUUAAACCUUACAGGGCUCUGAUUUUAUUUUUUUUCUUCCCCUAUCUCCUUCCUCUUUAAAAUGCCUGCUGUUGUGUACUGAUCACACGCAAACAAAGCUGGCCAAAUCCCAUCCUUACUCUUGAAGCUGUACCUCAAACUCUAGCAACAGAAAAGCCCCGACCUGUGUUGUAGAGCUUGGCAUUAUACAGAGCUGGCCUGGAUUUAGUUCACCACCCACGUUUUGAGUGUGCUGUGUGUCUAAAAGGAAGCCUCAGGUCUUUCACGGAGGCAGUGUGCUGUGCAGUGACCUCUAACACCCGGCUGUGUUUUAGUGCAGUCUCAAAGCACUUCACAAAGAAAGAAACAGCAGCACCAUUUUAAGGAGGGGAUGGCUUAAAGUUGAAGCAAGCCAGGUGCCAAACCACAAAUAGAAGCUGAACCUCCAGCUGUGCCCUUGCCUGGGGGUGUGUUUUUCUUUUUUCUUGCAAAGGGUGUCUUGAUCUAUGUAGACUCUUUCUGUACCAUUCAGAUGCAUAAGCCUUUACACUGUGAAAAAAUAGUCACCUCUCCUGGAAAACAUUGUGACCCAACCUCCAGACUACCACCCAAACUGAGGUAGUGUGUUACAUCUGGAGUGGCAUCACCUGAUGCUGCUAGCAGGGUGGGUACCACUGAUCUGAGGGAGCAACAGUGGCAAGGGAAAAAACUUGGUGUUGACAUCUGUCUCUUUCCUUUUUUAUUUCUUUCUCUAAUGAAAUACAUCCAUCUCAACUGAUGAUUUCAGAAAAACAAAGCAAGGGAUGGAAAAGGACAGCAGGCUUUUCCAAAUGGAAUGGAAUUUUUCACAGGAAGUGGAAAUGAAGUUGGAUUGCAGUAAAAAUCUCAAUGCUCAGGCUGGGCGUCAAUGCCAAAAAGGCUGGGCAUUUUUGAUGGAUGCUUGCUUGUUUUCCCUCAGGAAAUGUGAGAUCAGAGCUGCCUCAAAAAAGGCAAAUAGCGGUGUCUUAGUGUAUCAGCAUGCUGAGAAAUCUCUGGCCACGCUGAAUACAGUGUGGCCUCACGAGGCAGGUGGUGCUUCGUGGUCGUGUGGCAAAUAAGCAGCUGGAAGGAACUGAGCGAAAUGAAUAGGGGGUAAAGUGAAGCAGCUCAGCACCAAGGCACACAGAGGAAGCCCGAGGGUUUGGCACAGGUCUGUGAAAGUUUGGCUCUUGGGAUCACAGCAAUACGCUGCCUCAGCUUGGCUUCUGAAGGUCCAGGGAGGAGCAUGUGAAUUCUGCAUGCAUCAGUGGCUGGCAUAAUUGAAAUCUGCAAUAAAAUAUAAAUUAACGGAGGGAAAGUGUUCCUCCUUUUUCCAUCUGAUCUAUUUGCUUCAGCUUUAUUACCCGAGAUGGUCGUAAGGAGUGGUCUUGUUGAUUGAAUGUCCUAGACCAAGUGGGGGGUGGGACCCUAAUAUCCAUGACGCUGUUGAACAGAAACCUCUGGUGUGGGUUCAGAAGAAUGUUUCCUAAAAUGGAGGUAAUAAUUAUCACAGAGCAUUUAAAAUUGCUCCAACAAACAGCACACAAUACCUGCCUUGUUUUGCUUAUAAUUAACAAGGACAAUGCUCUUAAUUGGACAAAGAAGCAAGAGGCCCUGAUUCAGCAGCACACUUGUGAAUUCCAGCAUGCGAGAAGUUCCUCUGGAGCCAAAGAGAGGAUGUUCCCUUGGCUACAGAGGGAUAUGUUUAAGUGCUUUUCUGGACAGAGGCCAUCAGGAGUCAGGUAGAAGGACUCACAGAUGCAAAGCUACUAGAGUAGUAAAGCUGCUUAGCUAAUGGUCUUACUGAAUGGGAUCCUCAUUUUGUGAACAGAGACAGGAACGGGAAACAGCAGGCUUGUGGUCCAAGGAAUAGGGCUCUGCGCAUCUCCCAGCAGAGAGACAGGCCCAGGGUGAUGGCAUGGCUCUUCUUUAAUUAAAUGUUUUAGCUUGCGGUGUGUCUUAAUCUCACGAUGUGUCUUAAUCUUAUGGGAUAACGUGUCUUGCUCGGCUUGCUGAUGGGUUCUGCAGAAGCUGUAAGAGUUAAGCCCGUCCCACGUUAUUUACUGAAAUGUCAGAAGUUUCUAUUCUGUUAUUCCAGCAGUUGUCUUGUUAUGGCUCUGAGAGAGCCUGUGAGCAGCAUUCCAGAUACAGGCUCUAAAAAGGACUACAUAGUUUUAUUGGUCCCAUUUGAAAAAUUACGUUCCCACAUCUCCUUAAAACAAACAAAAAAAAUGAUCUUCAUCUCCUCCCACUUGGCAUUUGCAAUAUUGCCAGCUUUGUACACCACCUAAUUACAAUACCAGAGCAAUAAUAUUUCAUUUGGACUAGCAAGGGGCUGUCAGUUCCCCCAGAAAAGCAAGGGAACUGUGUUUUUCCACCUUCAGCAGCAGGAAAGGAUGCUGCUACGCAGGCUCUUUGGGGGUCAAGGGAUUUCAGCCCAUCUGCUGAAAUAAAGGGAAUUCUCAGGUGUUUGUACCCUGCAGGCUGGAAGAAAUGGCAUCCACAGCUGGUGCUCCCUGGGGAUGGGGGGAGAGGGAAUGGAGACACGCAUACCUGUCACUAAAUUACUGUACCUGCUCUGCUGCGGGGUAGUCGCAUCGGUGUCACUGCUGUCAUCUGGCCCCGCUGUGGGCAACAAGUGAGGAAGUGUCUGUCACGUUUCAUUUACCAGGCUUUGACAGAUUUGCCAAAUCAUUGCCUGGGCUGAUGGACUGCUCUACUGUGUAACUGGUGUGGUAGCAAGAAUCAGGACCUGGCUAUUGAGGUGUGUGACACGGCCGGUGCUGUGAGACCAUUGAAGCUUUGGGC